rnacentral:rRNA from 1 species
UACGUAGGGGGCGAGCGUUGUCCGGAGUUACUGGGCGUAAAGCGCUUGUAGGCGGUCCACCAAGUUUGGGGUGACAGUUGCCGACUUAAUCGGCAAAGUGCCUCAAAGACUGGCGGACUUGAGGGCCACAGAGGGACAUGGAACUCCAGGUGUAGUGGUGAAAUGCGUAGAUAUCUGGAAGAACGCCAAAGGCGAAGGCAGUGUCCUGGGUGGUCGCUGACGCUGAGAGGCGAAAGCCAGGGGAGCGAACGGG